UACCGAGUUUACAACUCCCAAACCCCUGUGAACAUACCUAUACGUUGCCUCGGCGGAUCAGCCCGCGCCCCGUAAAACGGGACGGCCCGCCCGAGGACCCUAAACUCUGUUUUUAGUGGAACUUCUGAGUAAAACAAACAAAUAAAUCAAAACUUUCAACAACGGAUCUCUUGGUUCUGGCAUCGAUGAAGAACGCAGCAAAAUGCGAUAAGUAAUGUGAAUUGCAGAAUUCAGUGAAUCAUCGAAUCUUUGAACGCACAUUGCGCCCGCCAGUAUUCUGGCGGGCAUGCCUGUUCGAGCGUCAUUUCAACCCUCAAGCUCAGCUUGGUGUUGGGACUCGCGGUAACCCGCGUUCCCCAAAUCGAUUGGCGGUCACGUCGAGCUUCCAUAGCGUAGUAAUAAUACACCUCGUUACUGGUAAUCGUCGCGGCCACGCCGUAAAACCCCAACUUCUGAAUGUUGACCUCGGAUCAGGUAGGAAUACCCGCUGAACUUAAGCAUA
rnacentral:rRNA from 1 species